CAGCCGCCGCGGUAAUACGGAGGGUGCAAGCGUUAUCCGGAUUUAUUGGGUUUAAAGGGUCCGUAGGCGGAUCUGUAAGUCAGUGGUGAAAUCUCACAGCUUAACUGUGAAACUGCCAUUGAUACUGCAGGUCUUGAGUAAAUUUGAAGUGGCUGGAAUAAGUAGUUUAGCGGUGAAAUGCAUAGAUAUUACUUAGAACACCAAUUGCGAAGGCAGGUCACUAAGAUUUAACUGACGCUGAUGGACGAAAGCGUGGGGAGCGAACAGGAUUAGAUACCCGCGUAGUCCCUGUCUCUUAUAA
rnacentral:rRNA from 1 species